rnacentral:rRNA from 1 species
UACGGGGGGAGCAAGCGUUGUUCGGAUUUACUGGGCGUAAAGGGCGCGUAGGCGGUCAGCACAAGUCAGUUGUGAAAUCUCCGGGCUUAACUCGGAAAGGUCAACUGAUACUGUGCGACUGGAGUGCGGAAGGGGCAACUGGAAUUCUCGGUGUAGCGGUGAAAUGCGUAGAUAUCGGAAAGAACACCAACGGCGAAAGCACUCUGCUGGGCCGACACUGACACUGAGAGACGAAAGCUAGGGGAGCGAACAGG